UAACAUAUUGAUAGGUAACUGAGUGACAGGUGAAUUUCCUUUAUGGUGUUGGACCUGUUCAUGUUUUCUGAAAGAUUCGUCAAUUCUCUGUGUUAAAUAAGAAACUUCUGGAUAUGUCAUUCUUCAUAUGUAUUCACCACUUUGAUUGCAUCUAUCACAGCCAUAACACCCAGAAUAUUGUUUAAGACAAUAACAAUCAAAACCUAGGAGUAAACAAAGUCUAACAAAACAAAGGACAUUUACAUCAACAGUUAUAAAUUAGAAACAACACGAACUCCACUCAAAAACCCCGACUACUGCUUUAAUGGUGUCAUCCCGAAGUCGGUGGGGUUACACCAGUUAUGCAGCAAUCAUUUUCUUCUACUUAUUCCAUGGUACACUGACUAGGACGAAAUACUUCGG
rnacentral:lncRNA from 1 species